rnacentral:rRNA from 1 species
CACCCAGACUCCUACGGGAGGCAGCAGUGAGGAAUAUUGGUCAAUGGGCGCGAGCCUGAACCAGCCAAGUCUCGUGAGGGAAGACGGUCCUAUGGCUUUUAAACCUCUUUUGUCGGGGAGCAAAAUACGCCACGCUUUUCUUUCCGAGAUUACCCGAAGAAAAAGCAUCGGCUAACUCCUUUCCAGCAGCCGCUGUAAUACGGAGGAUGCGAGCGUUAUCCGGAUUUAUUGGGUUUAAAGGGUGCGCAGGCGGAAGAUCAAGUCGGCGGUAAAAUUGAGAGGCUCAACCUCUUCGAGCCGUUGAAACUGGUUUUCUUGAGUGAGUGAGAAGUAUGCGGAAUGCGUGGUGUAGCGGUGAAAUGCAUAGAUAUUGCGCAGAACUCCGAUUGCGAAGGCAGCAUACCGGCGGUGAUCUGACGCUGAGGCACGAAAGCGUGGGUAUCGAACAGGAUUAGAUACCCGAGUAGG